UACGGGGGGGGCAAGCGUUGUUCGGAAUUACUGGGCGUAAAGGGCUCGUAGGUGGCCAACUAAGUCGGACGUGAAAUCCCUCAGCUUAACUGGGGAACUGCGUCCGAUACUGGAUGGCUUGAGUUUGGGAGAGGGAUGCGGAAUUCCAGGUGUAGCGGUGAAAUGCGUAGAUAUCUGGAGGAACACCGGUGGCGAAGGCGGCAUCCUGGACCGGCAUUGACGCUGAGGAGCGAAAGCUAGGGGAGCAAACGGG
rnacentral:rRNA from 1 species